rnacentral:lncRNA from 1 species
UGAUUUAGAGUUCGAGUCGAAGCUUCGAUCCUGUGUUCUGAGAUGCACAGCCUGCCAGUCUUGUCUGCAUCAUCUGCAUCAUAGCAUGUUUAUUUUCAAAAAGAAACGCAAUAAAAAGAAUUGAAAAAAAAGAAAAAAGAAAAACUAAUCCCUGCAUGCAUAUCAUUUCUCAGGUACAUUCCAGAGCUUGUUCACUGAUAGAGAUGGCAACAGUCCCAGAGCCGAAGCGGAAGACUUGUUCCUACAGCUUUCACCGUGAGCCUUUGACGUCUCUGAUCGAGUUGAGUAGCCUUGUGACCAGUGAUCAUCUGAAUGGGUUUGUGGAUCAGUA